CCAGGCACUCACAAACUUUCUAUACCUCUCAGCUUCCUUAAUAGUAAAUCUCAGAAUAAAGAUGGCCUCUCAGCUUCCUUAAUAGUAAAUCUCAGAAUAAAGAUGGCCCCAGUAAAACACUAGUGGCCAAAUUGAGCCAGACAGGUGGUAGUUUACAUGUGUGUGAGACUCUCAUUUGCGGCUCCCUCCCCUGCUUGAGACCUGUGGGGCUUGACAUCUGGGAGCACUCGGAUGAAGGAAUGGAGAUUUUUGAGAGACUGAGUAAUUUGCCUAAAGUCGUAUAAAAUGAAAAAACAGGAUUCAGACUAAAGUGUGGUGCAGCUCAAAGGAGCCCUGCAGGAUGGACGGAAGACACUAGUGCUCAAGAAGCCAGGAGGCCAGCUGCCUGCAUCCUUCCAGCCAACAUUCACCCCGAGACCCUGCGAGUUUUCUGGAAUCCUGACUCUUCCACCGAGAACCUCUCCGGAGCAGCGCUUCCCGAAGUAUAAUCAGCGGUGUGACAAAGGCUGCUCUUGAUCUGUCACAGCUUUGGUUUUCUCACCCAUGAAACAUGGACAAUGGGAACUAAUAUAGUGAUUUGAGGAUUCAAUGAGAUAAUACUUGGGCUGAGCUGCCAGGAACUAUUGGCUCCCGUUGCUAGCCCCUCUUUAAUGGUCAGAAGAUACAACAGAUCCUUGGGUUCCUGUAACAUCCUUUUCUCCACCCUCUUUUCUACCUAUUUAUCUCCUUUGUUUUAAAAUCCCAUUCAAGCCCCACCUCCUCUCUGAGACUUCUCUGCAAUGUCUGCCUAGCCUUGUGAACUCCUGGGAUUUCUUAGAGCAGAGUGGUCCUGGCUGAGCCAACAUUCAGAAUGAGCAUGUGGGGCUCCUCCGUGUCCUUAGGUGAGUUGCUUUGCAUGGGAGGAGCACCCAGAAGGGGAUCCUUCAGCAGAAAGUUUUAGGUGCUAAGACACCCGUCGGGGGUGGCAGAAGAAAGAGAUGGUGCCAAUAGUGUGUGGGGGGUGGGGGGCAAUCCAGCCCCUUUGGAAAGGGGGAGAAUCCUCCCCACAUCUGUAUUUCUGCAGGGAACCAGGCUGGCUCUAGUAUAGUGAGAGAUGGAGGAAUGCAGCUCUUAGGGGCAGCAUUGGGAAGGCAGAUUUGGGGACACAGGAACACAGGCUCUGGACAGGCAGCCUUGCCCCGGUGGAGACCAGGUGGAUGCCCAGCAGAGCCCAGUGGGAGGGCGGCAAGCCCAGAACUGUUCGUGGAAUGAAAGACAUCCCCAGAGGGUUCUGAGAAAUACCUGGGGAGGAUUUUGAGAGGGUUUUACAUAGACGAAAGGGAUGAUGAGACAGCAGAAUUUAUGACCUCAUUCAUACUCACCAGCUGAUUAUGCUUCUAAAUAAUGCAGACCGCCCCGCUGCAUAACAUCAAUUUACCAAGUAGCGGAUAGAUCCUGUGCAGGGAUGUGGGUGCUUCCUGUUCAAUACGGAUUGCCUAAUACAGCAUUUGAUGUCUGGAGCUCUUUUGCCUUCCAGACUUUGAGCUGCUUACUGUUGCCUAAGAUUCAAAGUAAAA